rnacentral:rRNA from 1 species
GACGAACGCUGGCGGCGUGCUUAACACAUGCAAGUCGAACGGAAAGGCCCUGCUUUUGUGGGGUGCUCGAGUGGCGAACGGGUGAGUAACACGUGAGUAACCUGCCCUUGACUUUGGGAUAACUUCAGGAAACUGGGGCUAAUACCGGAUAGGAGCUCCUGCUGCAUGGUGGGGGUUGGAACGUUUCGGCGGUUGGGGAUGGACUCGCGGCUUAUCAGCUUGUUGGUGGGGUAGUGGCUUACCAAGGCUUUGACGGGUAGCCGGCCUGAGAGGGUGAACGGCGACAUGGGGACUGAGAGAGGGACCAGACUCGUACGGGAGGCAGCGGGGGGGAAUAUGGCACAAUGGGAGGAAGCCGGAGGCAGAAGCGCCGCGGGCGGGAUGACGGCCUUCGGGUUGAAAAAAGCUGUCGCCUGUGACGAAGCGUGAGUGACGGUAAUGGAUAAAGAAGCACCGGCUAACUACGUG